CAUUCAGCUACUUCCUGUCACAGCCUGGGACAGAAUUCUGGUCUUGCAAGAGCUGUGUCUGUUGUUUUAGCGCCCAGCGUUCUCUUCAUCCAUGAUCCCAAGACUAUUCUAAAACUUAGCGGGGUGAGUCCAGAGGUUGUGAAGCCAUCCCCUAUGGCAAGUGUGAAGUGCCUUUGAUGUGGCAGGUACAGCAUCUGGGCAGACAGACACACUUAAUCCACCAGUGCUUUGAUUUCACGUUUCAGUUGAGAGGUCAAUGGAUUUUAAACAUCUUCUCUUGGAACUACUUUUUGGACCUGCUGAUUCUGGAGGAUGCCCUGCGUGAGUUCACUUCCUCCAUAUUUGCUGAGAUGAGUUUUACAGCUUAGUAUAUUAACUCGUUAUAGAUGUAGUGGGUAGCCAUUCCAGCUUUGAUCUGGAAGUUCCAGCCCCCAAUGAGGCUUCGGUAACUGUCACGCCUACAAGGUGGACCGAGAGAGGACCCUGAAGACCAGAGAUCCCGAUGCACCAGCUCUCUUGGUUCCUGGAGCCUGGACGCUGGAGGUAGACAGAGCAGAGUUCUCCAAAGAACAGCACCGGACUGUGCUACACCUUUCCCAGACCCUGUUACCUAUCCCUUUA